rnacentral:rRNA from 1 species
CAGCCGCCGCGGGAAUACGGAGGGUGCAAGCGUUAAUCGGAAUUACUGGGCGUAAAGCGCACGCAGGCGGUCUGUCAAGUCAGAUGUGAAAUCCCCGGGCUUAACCUGGGAACUGCAUUUGAAACUGGCAGGCUAGAGUCUUGUAGAGGGGGGUAGAAUUCCAGGUGUAGCGGUGAAAUGCGUAGAGAUCUGGAGGAAUACCGGUGGCGAAGGCGGCCCCCUGGACAAAGACUGACGCUCAGGUGCGAAAGCGUGGGGAGCAAACAGGAUUAGAUACCCGGGUAGUCCCUGUCUCUUAUAA